GAUGAACGCUGGCGGCGUGCCUAAUACAUGCAAGUCGAGCGAACGGACGAGAAGCUUGCUUCUCUGAUGUUAGCGGCGGACGGGUGAGUAACACGUGGAUAACCUACCUAUAAGACUGGGAUAACUUCGGGAAACCGGAGCUAAUACCGGAUAAUAUUUUGAACCGCAUGGUUCAAAAGUGAAAGACGGUCUUGCUGUCACUUAUAGAUGGAUCCGCGCUGCAUUAGCUAGUUGGUAAGGUAACGGCUUACCAAGGCAACGAUGCAUAGCCGACCUGAGAGGGUGAUCGGCCACACUGGAACUGAGACACGGUCCAGACUCCUACGGGGGGCAGCAGUAGGGAAUCUUCCGCAAUGGGCGAAAGCCUGACGGAGCAACGCCGCGUGAGUGAUGAAGGUCUUCGGAUCGUAAAACUCUGUUAUUAGGGAAGAACAUAUGUGUAAGUAACUGUGCACAUCUUGACGGUACCUAAUCAGAAAGCCACGGCUAACUACGUGCCAGCAGCCGCGGUAAUACGUAGGUGGCAAGCGUUAUCCGGAAUUAUUGGGCGUAAAGCGCGCGUAGGCGGUUUUUUAAGUCUGAUGUGAAAGCCCACGGCUCAACCGUGGAGGGUCAUUGGAAACUGGAAAACUUGAGUGCAGAAGAGGAAAGUGGAAUUCCAUGUGUAGCGGUGAAAUGCGCAGAGAUAUGGAGGAACACCAGUGGCGAAGGCGACUUUCUGGUCUGUAACUGACGCUGAUGUGCGAAAGCGUGGGGAUCAAACAGGAUUAGAUACCCUGGUAGUCCACGCCGUAAACGAUGAGUGCUAAGUGUUAGGGGGUUUCCGCCCCUUAGUGCUGCAGCUAACGCAUUAAGCACUCCGCCUGGGGAGUACGACCGCAAGGUUGAAACUCAAAGGAAUUGACGGGGACCCGCACAAGCGGCGGAGCAUGUGGUUUAAUUCGAAGCAACGCGAAGAACCUUACCAAAUCUUGACAUCCUUUGACAACUCUAGAGAUAGAGCCUUCCCCUUCGGGGGACAAAGUGACAGGUGGUGCAUGGUUGUCGUCAGCUCGUGUCGUGAGAUGUUGGGUUAAGUCCCGCAACGAGCGCAACCCUUAAGCUUAGUUGCCAUCAUUAAGUUGGGCACUCUAAGUUGACUGCCGGUGACAAACCGGAGGAAGGUGGGGAUGACGUCAAAUCAUCAUGCCCCUUAUGAUUUGGGCUACACACGUGCUACAAUGGACAAUACAAAGGGCAGCGAAACCGCGAGGUCAAGCAAAUCCCAUAAAGUUGUUCUCAGUUCGGAUUGUAGUCUGCAACUCGACUACAUGAAGCUGGAAUCGCUAGUAAUCGUAGAUCAGCAUGCUACGGUGAAUACGUUCCCGGGUCU
rnacentral:rRNA from 1 species